rnacentral:lncRNA from 1 species
GAAAAGAAAAAGACGUAAUGAGCAAUGAGUAGCCUAGAUCGGGUAGGCAACGUUGUGAGAUCCUGUAAGUCCUUUUAACUUCAUUGAGAUAAAACAUCAUUUUUUUUCUACGUAGCUGUAUAGAUCGUAUGCGAAUAAAUCUCGGUCGUUUUAUAUUUAUAUGAUUUAUAUGAUUUAUAUGAUUUAUCAUAGAAAUAUUAGUUACUAUACACUAUCGUACAAUAGUCGAACGAAGAUGAUCUAAAAAGAUAAUUUGUAGAACAUAUUUCGAAUGAUCGUUUUAAUAUGGAUUAGAAAUAAUAAUUUUUUAUUUGGUGCCAUUUAAAAUGUACCGGGCGACGAGAAGUACUCGAUCCACCAUCGAACCCUCUCCCACUUUACCUUACUGUGCUACCGUCGAUGUUGGCCGUCGAUGUUGGCCGUCGAUUCGACGGACGACAGAUUCGCGGACUUCGCAUUACUGAUUGUGGCUUUCAAUCUCGAAAGGACGCGUCUUUGUUAGUUGCUAAUAUUUUUUUAAUAGUGCUUCUUUUGCAUACUUUACGGUGAUUCAUUUAAAGAAAAUUAUUAUGAAGAAAUGAGUGCAAUUCUAUCUUUCACCGUAUACGAGCAAGUAUAUGAGGGUGAAUGCUUUCUUACAUUAAACUUCAAUAAUUUACGCGGAUAAUUAACGAUAGCUAACGAUAGUUAACGAUUACUUAUAUCCCGUUAAUGAUAUCAAUAAUCGAUGAUUCGACGAUAAGUAUAGGCGAUCAAUGCAGUCGAAUGUUACUCUCUUCAUUGAACAUGCAUAUAUCUACUAACAUGUUACCUGGAUUUUUAUUUCCGCUGGGUAUUGGAUGAUGGAUCGUUGUUAGCCACAUCAGUGAAAAACAUGGGGCAUCAUUAAGGACGUGGUAAUUUUUCAAAAAUCAUUAUUGACUCAUUGCCCAGUGCACAAAGAUGUAUAUGCAUGAUCACUAGAUUGAAUUCUCCUUUGUGUAGACGGCCAAUUAUUUUCUCUUCCUUUUAAGUUAUCUGUAUAAAUAUGCAGAAUUAGUUGGAUGUAGAGAGGAAAUGUUGUUAAUUAUACCUAUACUAGACUAUUUUCAAUAAAUCCGUUUAAUACACGGUCCCUGCAACCAAACAUUAUAUCCAUUUACCUUAUAUCCGAAUUUCAAAGACAAACUAAUAUUCCAUGAAUAAUCAUUUUCUUUAAUCGUUGUCGUCCAUGCAUUCUUCUAAUGCAUAAAAGGGCUAAAAACCAACAUAUGACAAUGGAAAAUGUACAAUAUAAGUAUAAGGGCAAAUUAUCCCAGAAAUGAUUGCACGGAAUUUGUAACUUUCCAGAAUAUACGAUUCUAAAUUUUUGCAUAAUCAAAGUAGUUAGAAAAAUUAAAAUGAUUAAGAUAAUACAACAAGAUUCUUCGAGAGAAAUCGUAUAUAUAUAUUUCGUAAAUAUACCGUAUAAAAAACGCUAUAUUAAAGUUAAAUAUGUUUAUCUAGUUGUUAAUUUAGAUUUCAUUUCGUAAAUCAAUCGUAAUUGCAAGUAUUAAAAGAUUGCGAAUAAAUUCGAUUUUAUUCCAACGUUAUAAUUCCAAAAUAUUAUCAAAAAAUUAAGUUUAAUGAUAACGUAAAUAAAAUUCCGAAUGUGAUAUAUGCAUAUAAAGGGUAACAAAUGAAAGAUUACUAAUUACACCGCUGUGAAAAUAUAAGUUUCAUUUAUUCCAUUGAGAUAGAGAUGUAGAUCCAUAUAAAUACAUAUAUAUAUGUACAUAUACACACAUAUCUAAAUAUGUGUGUAUAUAUCUAUAUAUAUAUAUAUAUAUACACACACACAUAAAAGAUGACGAUUAAAUUCAAUUAAUGGCAAAAAGAAUACUGAUCGCUACUGCUAAUAAGGUAGUCGCUUUGGCCGUAGCUAAAAAUUACCAACAGUGAAAUAAAAA